rnacentral:tRNA from 1 species
GGUGAGUUGGCUGAGGGGUCGAAAGCACUCGCCUGCUAAGCGAGUAUAGGGGCUAGAACCUCUAUCGAGAGUUCAAAUCUCUCACUCACCGCCA